UGGAUGAAGGUACAUCCAUUCCAGGUCUGAGUAGAAACUUCCAGAUGAGUCAAGAUAUUUUCCAGAUAUCCAUGCUUCCCUUCUCACUCUACCCACAGACCUAGGCACCUGUUUGUGUGUGGGUUUGACUGUCCAAGGAUUUGCUAGAAGAAUAUAGUAGGAUAAUAUUUGAAAUUAUUUAUCUGUACUUUUUCUUCUCCCUGUAUAUAUAUUAUUUCCUCUCACCAUUCCUCUUCAUUCAUGUAGACCCUAUGGAAGUGUGAGGCACGAUAAUGUUUCUGGCUAUUAAUUGCCAGUAGCUGAAGGAGAAGUCAGGCAAGAUUGCCAGAAAAGGCAAAAUGAAGGAGAAUGUAUCGGCAUCGACCAACUUUGCUGGAAUUAAGAUUCCUCUCUUGCUGGCAGGUAUGUCUUAUUUUCCUGACAAUUGUCUUAGGUAUCGCCAGCCCAGAGCUGCUACAGAGGUCUUAACGUGAAGUCUUGGUGAUGGUGGUGAAGAAUUAAAGCGCAAAUCAGCCAACAACCUAAACUGGAAUAAAUAAAUCACUUUGCCUCAAGUUCAUCAGCCGUUUCAGCUCUAUGAGAUUCUUACCUUUUUGGCCUUUUUGGGCUCCAGGUUUGCUGUCAUUUUCGUGGGUCUUUCUUACCCUAGAAUCUUUUUUCCCUUUCUCUUUACUCUAGGUCCUCAAAUUCAACUCCCACUGAUUAAAAAAAAAAUUUUUAAAAGGGUGUUACUACUGCCUGUGAAAUUUGCUGACAAUUUUUAAAAUGGAACAAUUUAGCUUCCUUUAUGUCAACCUCCUCAUUCCAGACUCUGCCCCAGACAUUGUUCUUUAACGCUGCACUAAUACAGCCUCUCAAAUAAAAUGCCAAUAAUCAAUGCAUAUUUAGCAAUCUGAAAAUUGGUAGAAACUUUGAAAAUCACACCUUUUUUUGCUUUAUUUUGAAAUUUUUUUAUUGGUCAAUGAAUUUAUUGCAUUUAUAGUUAUACAAUGAUCAUCACAACCCAGUUUUAUAGAAAAUCACACUAUUGAGCUAUUUAAAGAUAAAAUUCUUAGGUGGGGUCAAGGUCAUGUCUCCUGACUGGGGCUUUUGUUGA
rnacentral:lncRNA from 9 species